rnacentral:rRNA from 1 species
GAUGAACGCUAGCGGCAGGCUUAACACAUGCAAGUCGAGGGGUAUAGAAAGCUUGCUUUCUAGAGACCGGCAAACGGGUGCGGAACACGUACACAACCUACCUUUAUCAGGGGGAUAGCCUUCGGAAACGGAGAUUAAUACCCCAUAGUAUUAUGGAGUGGCAUCAUUUUAUAAUUAAAGAAUUUCGGAUAGAGAUGGGUGUGCGUAAGAUUAGCUAGUUGGUGAGGUAAAGGCUCACCAAGGCAACGAUCUUUAGCUGAUGUGAGAGCAUGAUCAGCCACACGGGCACUGAGACACGGGCCCGACUCCUACGGGAAGCAGCAGUGAGGAAGAUUGGUCAAUGGACGGAAGUCUGAACCAGCCAUGCCGCGUGAAGGAUGAAGGCGUUCUGCGUUGUAAACUUCUUUUAUUUAGGAAGAAACCACGUUUUUUUAAGAGUGUUGACGGUAUUAAAUGAAUAAGCACCGGCUAACUCCGUGCCAGCAGCCGCGGUAACAC